rnacentral:rRNA from 1 species
GGUGAAAAGCACCCCGGAAGGGGAGUGAAAUAGAACCUGAAACCGUGUGCUUACAAGUAGUCAGAGCCCGUUAAUGGGUGAUGGCGUGCCUUUUGUAGAAUGAACCGGCGAGUUACGAUUUGAUGCAAGGUUAAGCAGUAAAUGUGGAGCCGUAGCGAAAGCGAGUCUGAAUAGGGCGUUUAGUAUUUGGUCGUAGACCCGAAACCAGGUGAUCUACCCUUGGUCAGGUUGAAGUUCAGGUAACACUGAAUGGAGGACCGAACCGACUUACGUUGAAAAGUGAGCGGAUGAACUGAGGGUAGCGGAGAAAUUCCAAUCGAACCUGGAGAUAGCUGGUUCUCUCCGAAAUAGCUUUAGGGCUAGCCUCAAGUGAUGAUUAUUGGAGGUAGAGCACUGUUUGGACGAGGGGCCCCUCUCGGGUUACCGAAUUCAGACAAACUCCGAAUGCCAAUUAAUUUAACUUGGGAGUCAGAACAUGGGUGAUAAGGUCCGUGUUCGAAAGGGAAACAGCCCAGACCACCAGCUAAGGUCCCAAAAUAUAUGUUAAGUGGAAAAGGAUGUGGCGUUGCCCAGACAACUAGGAUGUUGGCUUAGAAGCAGCCAUCAUUUAAAGAGUGCGUAAUAGCUCACUAGUCGAGUGACACUGCGCCGAAAAUGUACCGGGGCUAAACAUAUUACCGAAGCUGUGGAUUGUCCUUUGGACAAUGGUAGGAGAGCGUUCUAAGGGCGUUGAAGCAUGAUCGUAAGGACAUGUGGAGCGCUUAGAAGUGAGAAUGCCGGUGUGAGUAGCGAAAGACGGGUGAGAAUCCCGUCCACCGAUUGACUAAGGUUUCCAGAGGAAGGCUCGUCCGCUCUGGGUUAGUCGGGUCCUAAGCUGAGGCCGACAGGCGUAGGCGAUGGAUAACAGGUUGAUAUUCCUGUACCACCUAUAAUCGUUUUAAUCGAUGGGGGGACGCAGUAGGAUAGGCGAAGCGUGCGAUUGGAUUGCACGUCUAAGCAGUAAGGCUGAGUAUUAGGCAAAUCCGGUACUCAUUAAGGCUGAGCUGUGAUGGGGAGAAGACAUUGUGUCUUCGAGUCGUUGAUUUCACACUGCCGAGAAAAGCCUCUAGAUAGAAAAUAGGUGCCCGUACCGCAAACCGACACAGGUAGUCAAGAUGAGAAUUCUAAGGUGAGCGAGCGAACUCUCGUUAAGGAACUCGGCAAAAUGACCCCGUAACUUCGGGAGAAGGGGUGCUCUUUAGGGUUAACGCCCAGAAGAGCCGCAGUGAAUAGGCCCAAGCGACUGUUUAUCAAAAACACAGGUCUCUGCUAAACCGUAAGGUGAUGUAUAGGGGCUGACGCCUGCCCGGUGCUGGAAGGUUAAGAGGAGUGGUUAGCUUCUGCGAAGCUACGAAUCGAAGCCCCAGUAAACGGCGGCCGUAACUAUAACGGUCCUAAGGUAGCGAAAUUCCUUGUCGGGUAAGUUCCGACCCGCACGAAAGGCGUAACGAUUUGGGCACUGUCUCAACGAGAGACUCGGUGAAAUCAUAGUACCUGUGAAGAUGCAGGUUACCCGCGACAGGACGGAAAGACCCCGUGGAGCUUUACUGUAGCCUGAUAUUGAAAUUCGGCACAGCUUGUACAGGAUAGGUAGGAGCCUUUGAAACGUGAGCGCUAGCUUACGUGGAGGCGCUGGUGGGAUACUACCCUAGCUGUGUUGGCUUUCUAACCCGCACCACUUAUCGUGGUGGGAGACAGUGUCAGGCGGGCAGUUUGACUGGGGCGGUCGCCUCCUAAAAGGUAACGGAGGCGCUCAAAGGUUCCCUCAGAAUGGUUGGAAAUCAUUCAUAGAGUGUAAAGGCAUAAGGGAGCUUGACUGCGAGACCUACAAGUCGAGCAGGGUCGAAAGACGGACUUAGUGAUCCGGUGGUUCCGCAUGGAAGGGCCAUCGCUCAACGGAUAAAAGCUACCCCGGGGAUAACAGGCUUAUCUCCCCCAAGAGUUCACAUCGACGGGGAGGUUUGGCACCUCGAUGUCGGCUCAUCGCAUCCUGGGGCUGUAGUCGGUCCCAAGGGUUGGGCUGUUCGCCCAUUAAAGCGGUACGCGAGCUGGGUUCAGAACGUCGUGAGACAGUUCGGUCCCUAUCCGUCGUGGGCGUAGGAAAUUUGAGAGGAGCUGUCCUUAGUACGAGAGGACCGGGAUGGACAUACCUCUGGUGUACCAGUUGUCGUGCCAACGGCAUAGCUGGGUAGCUAUGUGUGGACGGGAUAAGUGCUGAAAGCAUCUAAGCAUGAAGCCCCCCUCA